rnacentral:lncRNA from 1 species
AUGUUUUACCAGAGAGAGUGCUACAGUCAAUGUGUUACCAGAGAGAGUGCUAUACAGUCCAAUGUGUUACCAGAGAGAGUGCUAUACAGUCCAAUGUGUUACCAGAGAGAGUGCUAUACAGUCCAAUGUGUUACCAGAGAGAGUGCUACAGUCAAUGUGUUACCAGAGAGUGCUACAGUCAAUGUGUUACCAGAGAGAGUGCUAUACAGUCCAAUGUGUUACCAGAGAGAGUGCUAUACAGUCAAUGUGUUACCAGAGAGAGUGCUACAGUCAAUGUGUUACCAGAGAGAGUGCUAUACAGUCCAAUGUGUUACCAGAGAGAGUGCUAUACAGUCCAAUGUGUUACCAGAGAGAGUGCUAUACAGUCCAAUGUGUUACCAGAGAGAGUGCUAUACAGUCAAUGUGUUACCAGAGAGAGUGCUACAGUCAAUGUGUUACCAGAGAGAGUGCUAUACAGUCCAAUGUGUUACCAGAGAGAGUGCUAUACAGUCCAAUGUGUUACCAGAGAGAGUGCUAUACAGUCCAAUGUGUUACCAGAGAGAGUGCUAUACAGUCCAAUGUGUUACCAGAGAGAGUGCUAUACAGUCCAAUGUGUUACCAGAGAGAGUGCUAUACAGUCAAUGUGUUACCAGAGAGAGUGCUAUACAGUCAAUGUGUUACCAGAGAGAGUGCUAUACAGUCAAUGUGUUACCAGAGAGAGUGCUAUACAAUCAAUGUGUUACCAGAGAGAGUGCUAUACAGUCAAUGUGUUACCAGAGAGAGUGCUAUACAGUCCAAUGUGUUACCAGAGAGAGUCCUAUACAGUCCAAUGUGUUACCAGAGAGUGCUAUACAGUCAAUGUGUUACCAGAGAGUGCUAUACAGUCCAAUGUGUUACCAGAGAGAGUGCUAUACAGUCCAAUGUGUUACCAGAGAGAGUGCUAUACAGUCAAUGUGUUACCAGAGAGAGUGCUAUACAGUCAAUGUGUUACCAGAGAGUGCUAUACAGUCCAAUGUGUUACCAGAGAGAGUGCUAUACAGUCAAUGUGUUACCAGAGAGAGUGCUAUACAGUCAAUGUGUUACCAGAGAGUGCUAUACAGUCAAUGUGUUACCAGAGAGAGUGCUAUACAGUCCAAUGUGUUACCAGAGAGAGUGCUAUACAGUCCAAUGUGUUACCAGAGAGAGUGCUAUACAGUCAAUGUGUUACCAGAGAGAGUGCUAUACAGUCAAUGUGUUACCAGAGAGAGUGCUAUACAGUCCAAUGUGUUACCAGAGAGAGUGCUAUACAGUCAAUGUGUUACCAGAGAGAGUGCUAUACAGUCAAUGUGUUACCAGAGAGAGUGCUAUACAGUCCAAUGUGUUACCAGAGAGAGUGCUAUACAGUCAAUGUGUUACCAGAGAGAGUGCUAUACAGUCAAUGUGUUACCAGAGAGAGUGCUAUACAGUCAAUGUGUUACCAGAGAGAGUGCUAUACAAUCCAAUGUGUUACCAGAGAGAGUGCUCUACAGUCAAUGUGUUACCAGAGAGAGUGCUAUACAGUCAAUGUGUUACCAGAGAGAGUGCUAUACAGUCCAAUGUGUUACCAGAGAGAGUGCUAUACAAUCCAAUGUGUUACCAGAGAGAGUGCUAUACAGUCAAUGUGUUACCAGAGAGAGUGCUACAGUCAAUGUGUUACCAGAGAGAGUGCUAUACAGUCAAUGUGUUACCAGAGAGAGUGCUAUACAGUCCAAUGUGUUACCAGAGAGAGUGCUAUACAGUCAAUGUGUUACCAGAGAGAGUGCUAUACAGUCCAAUGUGUUACCAGAGAGAGCGCUAUACAGUCCAAUGUGUUACCAGAGAGAGUGCUAUACAGUCAAUGUGUUACCAGAGAGAGUGCUAUACAGUCAAUGUGUUACCAGAGAGAGUGCUACAGUCAAUGUGUUACCAGAGAGAGUGCUAUACAGUCCAAUGUGUUACCAGAGAGAGUGCUAUACAGUCAAUGUGUUACCAGAGAGAGUGCUAUACAGUCCAAUGUGUUACCAGAGAGAGUGCUAUACAGUCAAUGUGUUACCAGAGAGAGUGCUAUACAGUCAAUGUGUUACCAGAGAGAGUGCUAUACAGUCAAUGUGUUACCAGAGAGAGUGCUAUACAGUCCAAUGUGUUACCAGAGAGAGUGCUAUACAGUCAAUGUGUUACCAGAGAGAGUGCUAUACAGUCCAAUGUGUUACCAGAGAGAGUGCUAUACAGUCAAUGUGUUACCAGAGAGAGUGCUAUACAGUCCAAUGUGUUACCAGAGAGAGCGCUAUACAGUCCAAUGUGUUACCAGAGAGAGUGCUAUACAGUCAAUGUGUUACCAGAGAGAGUGCUAUACAGUCAAUGUGUUACCAGAGAGAGUGCUACAGUCAAUGUGUUACCAGAGAGAGUGCUAUACAGUCCAAUGUGUUACCAGAGAGAGUGCUAUACAGUCAAUGUGUUACCAGAGAGAGUGCUAUACAGUCCAAUGUGUUACCAGAGAGAGUGCUAUACAGUCCAAUGUGUUACCAGAGAGAGUGCUAUACAGUCAAUGUGUUACCAGAGAGAGUGCUAUACAGUCCAAUGUGUUACCAGAGAGAGUGCUAUACAGUCCAAUGUGUUACCAGAGAGAGUGCUACAGUCAAUGUGUUACCAGAGAGAGUGCUAUACAGUCAAUGUGUUACCAGAGAGAGUGCUAUACAGUCCAAUGUGUUACCAGAGAGAGUGCUAUACAGUCCAAUGUGUUACCAGAGAGAGUGCUAUACAGUCAAUGUGUUACCAGAGAGAGUGCUAUACAGUCAAUGUGUUACCAGAGAGAGUGCUAUACAGUCAAUGUGUUACCAGAGAGAGUGCUAUACAGUCAAUGUGUUACCAGAGAGAGUGCUAUACAGUCCAAUGUGUUACCAGAGAGAGUGCUAUACAGUCAAUGUGUUAUCAGAGAGAGUGCUAUACAGUCAAUGUGUUACCAGAGAGAGUGCUAUACAGUCAAUGUGUUACCAGAGAGAGUGCUAUACAGUCAAUGUGUUACCAGAGAGAGUGCUAUACAGUCCAAUGUGUUACCAGAGAGAGUGCUAUACAGUCCAAUGUGUUACCAGAGAGAGUGCUAUACAGUCCAAUGUGUUACCAGCGAGAGUGCUAUACAGUCCAAUGUGUUACCAGAGAGAGUGCUAUACAGUCCAAUGUGUUACCAGAGAGAGUGCUAUACAGUCCAAUGUGUUACCAGAGAGAGUGCUAUACAGUCCAAUGUGUUGGUUGAUCUUCGGGAAUGUUUUCCUCAAAUUUACUUUGUUAAAAUCCUCAGCUACUAGAAAUGCGGCCUCAGUAUAUGUAGUUUCCAGAUGUUCUUAUCUACUCUGA